UACGUAGGGGGCGAGCGUUGUCCGGAAUCAUUGGGCGUAAAGAGCGUGUAGGCGGCCCGGUAAGUCCGCUGUGAAAGUCCAGGGCUCAACCCUGGGAUGCCGGUGGAUACUGUCGGGCUCGAGUCCGGAAGAGGAGUGUGGAAUUCCUGGUGUAGCGGUGAAAUGCGCAGAUAUCAGGAAGAACACCAAUGGCGAAAGCAGCUCUCUGGGACGGUACUGACGCUGAGACGCGAAAGCGUGGGGAGCGAACAGG
rnacentral:rRNA from 1 species